GAUGAACGCUGGCGGCGUGCUUAACACAUGCGAGUCGAACGAUGAAGCCCAGCUUGCUGGGUGGAUUAGUGGCGAACGGGUGAGUAACACGUGAGUAACCUGCCCUUAACUCUGGGAUAAGCCUGGGAAACUGGGUCUAAUACCGGAUAGGAGCGUCCACCGCAUGGUGGGUGUUGGAAAGAUUUAUCGGUUUUGGAUGGACUCGCGGCCUAUCAGCUUGUUGGUGAGGUAAUGGCUCACCAAGGCGACGACGGGUAGCCGGCCUGAGAGGGUGACCGGCCACCCUGGGACUGAGACACGGCCCAGACUCCUACGGGAGGCAGCAGUGGGGAAUAUUGCACAAUGGGCGCAAGCCUGAUGCAGCGACGCCGCGUGAGGGAUGACGGCCUUCGGGUUGUAAACCUCUUUCAGUAGGGAAGAAGCGAAAGUGACGGUACCUGCAGAAGAAGCACCGGCUAACUACGUG
rnacentral:rRNA from 1 species